CCUGAGACCCGUGAGUUAAGAGAAUCAGAUCUUGGGAGAGUCAGAAAGACAAUUUAUGGUUAAACAUCCUUUUGUUUUGAGGAGGGUCUUUGGUUCUGAAGCAGGACUGACAAGGAAGGGGAGCUUCAUUUCACAAUGAUUCCUUUGCUUUAGGGCUUAUUGGGAAUCAGGGUCCUGUCACAGGGAGUCCUUCCCAAUGAACCUGCUGCUCUGGAGUCCUUUUCAGUCCUGCCCUGGGUUCUAUUCACUCCCUGGGCUGCUCCUUGCUGGGCAUUUCUGGCUAUAGUCUUCUCUGAGGAUGGAGUGCUGUUCCCAUCACAGCAGAGCUGAUAGAGAGGAAUCCCUGGAAAAUGUGUAGGGGAAUUUAUUUGAAAAGGAGCAUAAAUGCUUUUAGUAAGUAGAAGAUUUCUUCCUUUUAAAAUUUCCAGUAUCUGAGUCAGGUGUAAUAGGAUAUGAUUUGUGUAAAGGUUACUAUUAAUAGAGAAACUUAAAUAAAGGGCUGGAAAAUAUAGUCCAAAUAAUAUAUAAUAUUAGGAAUGGGAAACAGCUACAAAUUCACAAAACUUGUAUCUUGUAUAUCUCUUAUAUAUCUAAAUUAUAUGCAUUUUUGUCCUGCAUGUAUAUUAAUUUUAACCAUUUAUUUGUCUCUCCCUCUUUUUGUUUCUCUUCCCCUUUCUCUUUUCCUUCCUCUCCUCUUUCCACCGUCUGAGCCCCCAGGUUUGUCUCACUGUAACUUCUCAGGUGUAGACUGCAGUCUUUGUGCCUGGAGCCCCCUUGGAGUUAUGCUGAGUUCAACCAUUGUGACCCCACGUAACAACCCAUGAAUUCAAGACUCGUCACUUCUUAUUUAAUUUCUCCAACAGUUCCAUGGCUCCAACAACUCAUUCCUAGGAAUUCCCUUUAUUUGGUUUUCUACUUUGAACUCAAGUAAAGAUAACAAAAAUUUAAGUUAUAGAAGAGCACUUACUUGAGGUGAGGUGCUUUGAAACAAUGAACUACCCUUUGAGGUGUGGCCAUCUGACACAUUGGGGCUUUCCUAUUAACUGCACCACCAGUAUAUCUUGCUUAUCUGUUUUUCUGACACAUUUAAAGUUAUUCUUAGAGAUUUUUCAGUAUAAAAAAUAUCUAUGAGAACUUAAUCUUGUCUAGUUAUUGGCUUGGAUAUUAAAGAUACUUUGGUGUCUCUUUGCUUCCUCAUUUGUAAAAAUGAAGGUUGUUGUACUAUAUCAGAGGUCUUUAAACACAGAAUAGCAUGGGGUAGUUGUAGAAAAUACAGAUUCAAGGUCUGUGCUACAAACUUUUGAAAUCUCAGGGACCAGGACUUGAGACUAUAAAUUUCUAAAAUGCUUUCCAAUUGAUACUGAUUUGGAAAAUAUAUUAGCCAGCUUUUCUGUUACUAUGACAAAUACCUGAGAAAAAAUAACUUGAAGAGGCAAAGAUUUAUUUUGACUCACAGUUUCAGAGGUUUCAUUCCAUGAUUGGUGGCCCCCUUGUAGUGGGCCUGUGGCAAAGCAGAGCAUCAUGGUAGAGAAGGCAUGGUGGAGCAGUUGUUCACCUUAUGGCAAUCGGGAAGAAGUGAGAUAGGGAAGUGAAGAACCAGGGGCAAGAUGAGUCCCCAAGGGCACAUGCCCAAGGACACACUGUUUAACUAGGUCCACCUCCUACAAUUUCCCCUACCUCCUCAUAAUGCCAUCAAAUCAUAAAUCUACUAAAGAGAUCAGAGCUCUCAUGAUCUGAUCACUUCCCCAAAUUUUCACCUCGACAUUGCACAUUGGGGACCACACCUUCAACACGUGUGCCUUUGGGUGUUGGUCUAGAUCCAGAUUAUUACAGAAACCACUGGAAGAGGAAUCAUGAUGCUUCUAUACAUACCAGCUGCCUGUGGUGAUUUGUUUGUUUGUUUUUUUAAAUUUAUAGUUGAGAUUCUUGGUAAUAUUGUGUUCAUUCUUCCUCUCCCUCCAACUUCAUUAUUUUGCAUUUGGCUUGCUAUUCAUUCAGUUUGCUAAUUAUUUUGAGUCAAGGGUGCAGUGUUAAUG